rnacentral:rRNA from 1 species
GAUGAACGCUGGCGGCGUGCCUAACACAUGCAAGUCGAGCGAGGAAAGAUAGCUUGCUAUCAAUCCUAGCGGCGGACGGGUGAGUAACGCGUGGGUAACCUGCCCUAUACACAUGGAUAACAUACCGAAAGGUAUGCUAAUACAAGAUGAAACAUUGAUAAGGCAUCUUAUUAAUGUCAAAGCCUUGGCGGUAUAGGAUGGGCCCGCGUCCCAUUAGUUAGUUGGUGAGGUAACGGCUCACCAAGGCCACGAUGGGUAGCCGACCUGAGAGGGUGAUCGGCCACACUGGAACUGAGACACGGUCCAGACUCCUACGGGAGGCAGCAGUGGGGAAUAUUGCACAAUGGGCGAAAGCCUGAUGCAGCAACGCCGCGUGAGCGAUGAAGGCCUUCGGGUCGUAAAGCUCUGUCCUCAAGGAAGAAUUUUGACGGUACUUGAGGAGGAAGCCCCGGCUAACUACGUGCCAGCAGCCGCAGUAAAAC